rnacentral:tRNA from 1 species
AAAUAAGAAGUGAAAAAUCACAGCCAAUUUCGACUUGGUCCUUGAAUUAUGUCCUUAUUUU